UACGAAGGGGGCUAGCGUUGUUCGGAAUUACUGGGCGUAAAGCGUGCGCAGGCGGCUUCUCAAGUCAGGGGUGAAAGCCCAGAGCUCAACUCUGGAAUUGCCUUUGAGACUGAGUGGCUUGAGUACGAGAGAGGUGAGUGGAAUUCCCAGUGUAGAGGUGAAAUUCGUAGAUAUUGGGAAGAACACCGGUGGCGAAGGCGGCUCACUGGCUCGUAACUGACGCUCAGGCGCGACAGCGUGGGGACUCAAACAGG
rnacentral:rRNA from 1 species